rnacentral:rRNA from 1 species
AUGCUGACAGCGUACUUUCAUGCAAACAGCUUACAUGAGAAAGCACGAGGCAUACUAUACAGAUACUUUAUGGAAUAUUAUACUUGGCAAACACGCGGGAAGUUUUGGCAAGAGAGAAAACGGGCCGCUCUAUUCCAGGUUGGCAGAAUCGUCUCAGCACACCCGGCUGAAGGAGAGCGAUACUAUCUUUGA